rnacentral:lncRNA from 1 species
ACCUUUCUUUCCGCCAGCGGGAACCCAUAUAUCAGAAAUAUCAGAAUCAAUUUGAGUCACAGAAAAUGUCCAGACUGAAUUUUUGUUUUACUUGUUCAAGAUGUUGGGGAAGAGGAACCUCAAAGGGGAAGAAGCUAAAGUGAAAGAGCAGCUCAGACUCAUUCACGGAACUGAUGGAGAUGUGGCAGGAGACAACAUCUUUUCAAGUGUUACAGAAGCAGAGACCUGAAAGUCUGGAAACCAAGGAUACAUCAGAGAGGACUGUGGCUCAGGUGUCUUGUCCUAGAGCAUGCUCUGGUCUCUGUUAUCAUCUCAUCCUUGAGCCUUGUCUCCUGUCAAGGCCAUUUUGUGCUGCUGGAGAAGAACUUAGAAAUCCUGAACACAUCUACAUUGGACAGUGGCAAAUCCAAAUCCCAUCGUUUACUGGCUGAACUACCUGAGAAAUCCGCAAUUAUGCUAUCUCCAGCUUUUCUCUGAAGCCGGGUUAAGACUUGUUUUCUUCCCUUGCUUUCCUUCUCCUGUGGAUAAUCUGGGAAUGCUUAAGAGGAAUGGUAGGAAAUGUGAUUAGUAAAUGGUUCUGGGGUUAUUCAGUAUUCUGUUUGCGUUUUUGUUUUAUAUCUUAAGUCAAUCACAUACCAUAAUAGGCUAUUUGUCACCACAGAUAUCUGUAUACAUAAAGGAUAAGUAGGUACUGAAUAUACGCUUUUAACAAUGUUCUAAGCAUUGCCAGUGAUAUAUUAUUUUCUUUUAUCUCCUCUGUAUAUCUCUCUAUCAAGGGAGUGUCAUUGGGUGUAUCCCAGUGGAACUGAACAGAUUCUAAUCAACUGCUAAGAAAAGAAGAUAUUACACCAAGACAAGAAUAGCUGCUUGAUAGAAGCUCCUCUGUAAAAGUAUAAUUCUUUGAUGUUCUCUUUUUUGCUAUUGUGAGGUACUGAGUAAAGAUGGUAUUUAAAAAAAAAAUCUAACUUCAGGUAUUUUUCUGUGGACAUAAAAGGCGAGAUUCAUGCCGGCAGGCAAGAGGCUUCUUGGUGCGUCCAUUGACGUGCAAAUUAGGAAUUAGUACACUAAAAGCAUUGUAUGUUUUAUCAGCGUAAACCAAGCGUGAGCAAGACAUGCUGUACAGUCUGUGAGUCAAUAUAGUGAUGGUGCUUGGGAGACUGGUAUUUUACCGAAAAAGCCAUACCUCUAAAAGCUCUUGUGUGAGGAAACGUUGUCUGCUUUCUUCAUUUUGUACCUGCUCUGUAGCUGGAGGGCUUCCAUUGCUUUCUGGAUCAUACUUUCCACAAGUCAAAAUAAAGAUGAUUU